GAUGAACGCUGGCGGCGUGCCUAAUACAUGCAAGUCGAGCGAACAGACGAGGAGCUUGCUCCUCUGACGUUAUCGGCGGACGGGUGAGUAACACGUGGAUAACCUACCUAUAAGACUGGGAUAACUUCGGGAAACCGGAGCUAAUACCGGAUAAUAUAUUGAACCGCAUGGUUCAAUAGUGAAAUACGGUUUUGCUGUCACUUAUAGAUGGAUCCGCGCCGCAUUAGCUAGUUGGUAAGGUAACGGCUUACCAAGGCAACGAUGCGUAGCCGACCUGAGAGGGUGAUCGGCCACACUGGAACUGAGACACGGUCCAGACUCCUACGGGAGGCAGCAGUAGGGAAUCUUCCGCAAUGGGCGAAAGCCUGACGGAGCAACGCCGCGUGAGUGAUGAAGGUCUUCGGAUCGUAAAACUCUGUUAUUAGGGAAGAACAAAUGUGUAAGUAACUAUGAACGUCUUGACGGUACCUAAUCAGAAAGCCACGGCUAACUACGUG
rnacentral:rRNA from 1 species